rnacentral:lncRNA from 1 species
AUUUUUAAUUUUAAAUUAGGUUGUUUACUAAGCUAUGAUUAUUUCUGAUCAGUUUAUAUUUAGAGAUACUUCAAUUAAAUCUUGUUAUUUUCUUUUCUGAAAGGAUUCAGAAAUUGUCUAUUGAGAGAGAGAGAGAGAGAGAGAGAGAGAGAGAGUCCGGCUACUAUCCUCAUAAGAGGAUAGAAGUCUUUGUCUUAUCAAGUAAUUUUGGAUGAUAGAGACUUCAAAUUGAUAAUCAGCACCGUUGAAAUUGAUCUAUACUAUUAGAAAUAUUUAGAAACCAAAUUUUGUAAAUUUUAAAAAUUAUUAUCAAAUCCACCGAAGAGUCGCAAAAUGAACGGUAAAAAACAAAUUAACGACCUUCUGAAAACAGAGGUUAAACUUUCUCAAUUUACGAUCGGAGUUAUUAAACAUUAUAUAAAUAGUACAAAGAAGUUUUCAUCAAAAAUUCAACCGAUUUGAAUUACUUUACACCAUUAAACAAGCAAACGGCUCAUAUAGGCCGUCAAAAAUUAUCAAUUUUGUAAUUCUUUGAUCACUAUGUAAAUAAAUUUUAAAAUUUAUAAAAUUUAGUUCCUAGAUAAUUAAUUCAAAUACUCUAGAUCAACUUCAGCGAUUCCGAUCAUUGAUUUGUGAUCUCCAUCAUCAAAAAUGAUCUGAUAGGACGAAAGUCCCUAUUCUUCUAAAAGAAUAUAUAGCAACUGGAUUAUAUAUAUGUAUAUAUAUAUAAACUGUACUAUUUAUAGUACCGGAACUUUGGUUCUAAAGUCUCAUUUUUCAUCUUAAGAUAUUUAAAUCAACGAUCUAUACCGUUAAAUAUGAUUUAAGAUAUAUGAAGUUUUUAGAAACAAAAUUUUAACUUUUUCAAAAUCAUUACUUAGUAAGUAAAUCAUAUAAAAUGAACGUUGAAAAUUGAACAAUUUUUAAAAUUUAAUGAUAAAAUUUUUAAAUUCAAGAUCGAAGAUACUGACCUUGAUCUAAAUAGUUUAAAAUAUUUUCUAUCAAAAUUGAAAUUAAUUUAGAUUUUUUACACUGUUAAACUACAAACUCAUCAUAAUGGCCAUAGAAUAUUGAUAAUUUUGAAAUAGUUUGAUCAUAAAAUAACUAUAUUGAAAAAAUAUAAAAUUUUAUUUCUAAAAACUCCAAGUAUCCUAAAUCAGUUUUAACAGUGUGCAUCGUUGAUUUGAACACUCUAAGAUUGAAAACGAGAUUACAAUACUGGAGUUUCAGUACUAUAGAUAUUA